AUCCGCUCAAAUAAGCUACCAUCUUACUGGUUAUAUUAAGGAUAAAACCCAUGUCAAAUAAAGAUGAAAAUAUAUGUCAAUAUAUAGGAGUUUGUGCUACUUUUCUUACAAAUGUUGAACGUUUAAGGUAGAACCUCAUGUUUUAAUACAAUGUAUAUAUAAUCAGAACAUGUUAUUCAAGAUUAUCUUCUCAAAAAACACGCACUCAACAUAUAUAAGUCUCACACAAUAUCAUAAUAGUAUAUAAAAGGUAGAAAUAUAUCAAUUCGUUUCUUAUAAAUAAAAUAGCCAAGCAUAUGUAAAUGUAUACAUAAAUAUGCAUGUAUAUAUUAUAAUUCCUGUCUAUUUUUAUAAAUAUUCAUUAAUUCACCUGAGAAUUAUCUCCUUCCUGGAACAAAGCAUCUUAUGACAAAUUCAGUUGGCCAAGUCAGUGUAAACUUGUAAGCCCUAAUUCCAGUAAUCUUCUUUCUCUUUGCAACUGCAGCCAUGGCUGUCUCCCUAGCCCCUUCUAAAAACCUCUUUAUCUUCUUCUUCAAACUGUGACUUUCACUAAGCUGAUAACUGCUGAGAAAUGCCCUUCUUGCUUGCAAAUAUUCUCGAUCCCGACAACGAAAAUUUCGAUAAUUAUAUGAUCCCAUGGAUAGUGAAAGGACAGAAGGAUGAAUUUUUUGGGUGCCAUUUUUCUUUCUCCAAAAGGCCAUUGAAUAUAAUGAUUAGCUUUGCAUGCAAAUGAAUAGGUUUUAUAUAUAUGGAAGAAAUAUAUAUUUCUUAUAAGUUG
rnacentral:lncRNA from 1 species